UACGAAGGGGACUAGCGUUGUUCGGAAUUACUGGGCGUAAAGCGUGCGCAGGCGGUUUUGUAAGUCAGAUGUGAAAUCCCCGGGCUUAACCUGGGAACUGCGUUUGAAACUACAAGGCUAGAGUGUGGCAGAGGGGGUGGAAUUCCACGUGUAGCAGUGAAAUGCGUAGAGAUGUGGAGGAACACCGAUGGCGAAGGCAGCCCCUGGGUUAACACUGACGCUCAGGCACGAAGCGUGGGGAGCAACAGG
rnacentral:rRNA from 1 species